rnacentral:rRNA from 1 species
GACGAACGCUGGCGGCGUGCUUAACACAUGCAAGUCGAACGGAAAGGCCCUGCUUUUGUGGGGUGCUCGAGUGGCGAACGGGUGAGUAACACGUGAGUAACCUGCCCUUGACUUUGGGAUAACUUCAGGAAACUGGGGCUAAUACCGGAUAGGAGCUCCUGCUGUAUGGUGGGCGUUGGAUAGUUUCGGCGGUUGGGGAUGGACUCGCGGCUUAUCAGCUUGUUGGUUGGGUAGUGGCUUACCAAGGCUUUGACGGGUAGCCGGCCUGAGAUGGUGACCGGCCACGUUGGGACUGGAAUGCGACCCAGACUCCUACCGGAGGCAGCAGUGGAGAAUAUUGCACAGUGGGAGGAGGCCUAAUGCAACAACGCCACGUGCGGGGUGACAGCCUUCGGGUAGUAAACCGCUUUCGCCUGUGACGAGGCGAGAGUGACGGUAAUGGGUAAAGAAGCACCGGCUAACUACGUG